rnacentral:rRNA from 1 species
UUGUAGAAUGAACCGGCGAGUUACGAUCCCGUGCAAGGUUAAGCAGAAGAUGCGGAGCCGCAGCGAAAGCGAGUCUGAAUAGGGCGAAUUGAGUACGUGGUCGUAGACCCGAAACCAGGUGAUCUACCCAUGUCCAGGGUGAAGUUCAGGUAACACUGAAUGGAGGCCCGAACCCACGCACGUUGAAAAGUGCGGGGAGGAGGUGUGGGUAGGGGUGAAAUGCCAAUCGAACCUGGAGAUAGCUGGUUCUCUCCGAAAUAGCUUUAGGGCUAGCCUCAAGGUAAGAGUCUCGGAGGUAGAGCACUGAUUGGACUAGGGGCCCCUA